UGUGCAUGAACCAACUCACUGUUUAAACCACACUCUGGACCUUGUUCUGGGAUAUGGUGUUGAAAUUGAAAGUGUAUCAGUGUGUCCACAUAAUCCUCUUUUAUCAGACCAUUUUUUAAUAACUUUUGAAGUCCUGUUACUGGACUACAAGCCAGUAGGCAAAAUAUCCUACGCUCGAUGUCUAUCUGAAAGUGCUGUGACUAAAUUUAAGGAAGUGAUUCCAUCAGCACUUAAUUCAAUACCAGGACUCAAUAUCAAUAUAAUGGAAGACUCCAAUGCUAACUUUAGUCCCUCCCAAAUUAAUCAUCUUGUUGAUAGCGCUGCAGCCUCACUGCGAAUAACACUCGACUCUGUCGCUCCUCUAAAGAAGAAGAUCAUAAAACAAAAGUCGAGAAAUCUUGAAAGUAAAUGGCGUUCCACUAAAUUGGAAGAAUCUCGUUUAGUCUGGUUAGAUCAUCUUAAAACGUAUAAGAAGGCUCUCCGUAAUGCCAGAGCAGCUUAUUACUCUUCCUUAAUAGAAGAAAAUAAGAACAACCCCAGGUUUCUUUUCAGCACUGUAGCCAGGCUGACAGAGAGCCACAGCUCUACAGAGCCUUCUAUUCCUAUAUCUCUCAGUAGUGACGACUUCAUGAGUUUCUUUAACGAUAAAAUUAUAAUUAUUAGAGACAAAAUUAAUCUCCUCCUGACCUCAAUUGGUAAUGACUUAACUUCAACUGUUGGAAUUUUAAAAACAUCUGUAACUCCUGAAAUAUAUCUAGACUGUUUUACUCCAAUCAACCUUAACCAACUAACUUCAACAAUCUCAUCGUCUAAGCCAUCAACCUGUCUUUUGGACCCGAUUCCAACUAAACUGUUUAAAGAAGUUUUACCCUUAAUUAACACCUCGUUAUUAAAUAUGAUCAACCUGUCUCUAUUAUCUGGCUACAUACCACAAUCCUUUAAAGUAGCUGUAAUAAAACCACUUCUGAAAAAGCCUAGUCUUGAUCUAAAGGUUUUAGCCAACUAUAGGCC
rnacentral:lncRNA from 1 species